ensembl:lncRNA
GCUAUUGUAUAUUUUCCCCUCUCCUUUCAAGCUGGCGGAAUUAAGUGAGAAACGGUUUUGUAGCCCCUCAGAGUGAAAAAUAUUUCCUGAGCGUGAAAAAAAAGUUGCUCCGCGUGAGGAUCAAAGCGUCACGUUUUCCUGACAGCCUCGAUGAAGAGCACGCAGUCCAAAAGCUGAGCAACCAGGAGACACACUGGGAAACUGAGAGGCCUGGAGCCACUGCCAGCGCCCAAGCAGGGAUCUAAGCCAGGAGGAUCAGAGUGGAGGAGUAACCCCUUCUGAAAGGAAGGAAGGGGCAAUCUGCUUACGUAUCAUAUUCCUGGCUGCCUUCCAAUGGAACAGGACAGGAUAUAUAUGAGCACGUCACAACAAAGCACUCUGCCCAUCCAUAAGGAUGGAGGAAGAAGAACUAGAGAAGGUAGAAGAAAGUGGGCUGGGAAAUGAGAGACACAAACUGAAUUGAUAAGUAAAACUGGAAAUAACUUCACCAGAUGGAGAUGUGCAUUGGCUAAUCCUUGAUCUGGAUGGAGGACAGUGCAGUGACCUCAUGUUGUGCCAACCUGUAAGCAGAGGCUGGGCAAGGUUUGACCUUCAAAGCAGAACACUGAUAUAUCUUCACUUGGCAGCUGUGUGUCAUCUGUUGGAAGAUGUCCCUAAUGGGCCCUAAGGGAAAUAGCCAACAUGGAAGCAGGCCUGAAAAUCCAGGACCUCAUUUCAGCAUCACAGCAAGGCUGGGGAGCACUGCCUUGGAAGCCCACACUGGUCCAGGAGGGCUGGCACACUGGACAAGGGAUCCCUAAGGCAUAUGACCCAGGCUGUUUUAUUCCUCACAAAAAUGAAUGUGCCAUGAAUGCCCCAUUGCAAAUCCCCAUAAAAGACGCAGAAUGUCUUAAAAAUCCAGUCAACAAACCCACACAAGUCUUGAUGGAAAUGCAUCCCAGUCAGACAGGUCUGGAUCCCAUAACUAUAAAGGUGUUUUAUUUCCUGGAAUUCUUACAUCAAAGGGUGGAUUUUCAAGACAAAUAGCUGCUAUUUUCAUUUCUCUGGAGAAAUCAUAUGAUGUGAUUGACAAUUAAGAUCAGAAAAAGAUUUGAUGGGCAAAAGAUCAGGAAAUAAAUCUCACCACACCACUAAAUCCAGGGCUGUUAUCAAAAGUUAUUCAUCCACGCUCAGCACUGUGAGGAUCACAGGAAUUUGGGACCUAAUUUAAGGAUGUUUUUUCAGUAACACUAACAGAAGAUUGAGGAAAUUGGGCUCAGUUUUACCUGCUACAAAGCUCCAUUAGUGCUAGAGUGAAGGAACAGAUAUUGAGCCAGAUUCUCUGAAGAUGGCACAAUGCAAACAUGAGCUUGCAAACAUCCCUUUGACAUUUUAACCCUUUGGGGCCAAGAGUUUUUCCCAACGAAUGAAUUAACACCAUUGUCUUCCUCCACUCAGAUUUUUCAGUGGAUGGAAUUGUUAAAAAAAGAAGGCAUUAUUGGCAGUGACACAUGCUGGGACAUGUGGCUGCUACAUGGGAUAUGCCUGGGGAUGUAGAAAGCAGGUAGGGGUGAAGGGUGAUAUUUGUCACAGCCAUCCCCAAACAUCAGGAGGGUUAUCAGGCCUACACUUCUUACAGCUGGGCCUCAUCUCCAUCCAUCUCUGACCAUUAGGAUGCCUAGGCUACAUUUGACACUGACUGACAAUUUUACUCCAAAGAAACAGCCCUUUAUUUCCUGAGACAGUUAGAUUUGUGUAUCACAACCACGUAGUCCAGACUUCUCUGCUAAUAGGCAAAAGCAUACGGUUUCAUUUCUCCAGGGAGUCUAAUGGUGUGCAGGAGGCAAGGUGAUGAUGCUGCCUUGGUCCUCCCCCAAGGGAAUCCACAGGUGCUGCUGAGCCCAAGGUAUGGCACAAGCUCAUCCCAAAGCUUUGGGUUCUCUGUCCUCCCUCACUCCUGUCUACAUGGCUGUCUUUGAGAAACAACCAGAAAACAUGGAAAGAGGGUUAGCAGAGGUAUACUGCCAUGGAGGAGGUGCGAUUGAUUGAGUGUUUGCUUACUCAGGCCUGCGCUAGGGAAGGGAAGGUGAUCUCAUCAGUCUCAUGACCAGAAGGAGCUGGGGAAGCCGUGUUGAACCCAGCCGUCCAGGGAGUCAGAUUGGACAUG